rnacentral:rRNA from 1 species
UGGCGGUGGGGUGGACCUUGCGGAAGGACAUUA